rnacentral:tRNA from 1 species
ACCCAAGCCAUAGCUCAGUGGUAAAGCAUCUGCUGUGCAUGUAGAAGGUCCCAGGCUCAAUACCCAGCAUCUUUGGGUA